CCCUUAGAUGUUCUGGGCCGCACGCGCGCUACACUGAUGCAUUCAACGAGUCUAAAACCUGCUCUGAUAGGGGUGGGUAAUCUUUUGAAUGUGCAUCGUGAUUGGGAUAGAUGAUUGCAAUUUUUCAUCUUCAACGAGGAAUGCCUAGUAAACGCAAGUCAUCAGCUUGCAUUGAUUACGUCCCUGCCCUUUGUACACACCGCCCGUCGCUCCUACCAAUUGAAUGAUCCGAUGAAUAUCAUAGACUGAGAGUAUAAGCAGGUUCGCCUGUCUUUGCUUCUCGGGAAGUGAAGUAAAUCUUAUCAUUUAGAGGAAGGAGAAGUCGUAACA
rnacentral:rRNA from 1 species